CAAAUCCAUGGUCAAGGUUAAAGACCUAGCGCCGCCGCCUCGGAUGGAUCCCACGCUCCUCUCCGGCAAACUAUUCCGCUGCCAUCUUCAAGACUUCCGCACUUAUCCUCUAUCCAGGAUCCUCUCUCCCUCCGCCCUCAUCCUCUCCCGUCUGGGUUCCUCUCCCCGAAAGCCCCGAUGCGUCCUUGGAGUUUGUCGCUCAUCAUCUCCAAAUGUUGGCCUGAGACAUUGAGUUUAGUCUCCUCCAUCUCCCAUCAGGUGACAAGAUGGAUUGUAUGUUGUUGAUGAUUGAAUGGGCCCUAAUAGUUCGCUUCUUAUUUGAAGUGCAGAAAAAUAAUAUUGAUCCAAGCCGUUCUCAUGAUAUCCUCAAGAUAUAUAUCAAGCAAAAGGAGACCCCAAGUUCUACAUAUGAGAAGUGGCCGCCUUGAAAAGGAGAAGAAAGAUGGAGCAGUUUUCCUAUAUUGGGACAGUAAAUCAAUCCGCCUAUUGUUUGUAUGUACACUAAUACUUGUAUUUCUAAAUGAUGUUAUCUUAAGCUGGAACUUGAAAUGUGGAAAUGCUACAUAUUCAAGGCUUAAGGGCUAUUCCAUUUCUUGCAGGGCUGCAGGAAGAAAAAAUAGAACGGUUAUGAUUGGUACGUCCAGUAUUUCACACAUAUAUCCUUGUAAUUAAGUUGAAUUGGCCUACUUGGAUGUUGGAUUACUUAGUAAAACUAAUUUCCUUUGCCAUUUAUUUUUCUGCAGCUUGCAUUAGUCCCACUGAUACAAAUGCAAAUGAAACCACUUAGGUAUGCCAAUCGUGCAGAUUAAACUGUUAAUAUACUCAAAUAUCAUGGGACAAUUAAGUAAUAUCUCGCGCUGCCAUUUAUACUUCCUUUCUAAAAAUUAGUUAAGCAUCUAGAAUUAGCUAACACACCUCAAAUUUCACCAUCUGACGUUUAUGUGCUAAUUUUCCAGGGAACUUAUGUCUAAUUAACUAAUGCAUUCUCUAUA